rnacentral:rRNA from 1 species
AGUGAACGCUGGCGGUAGGCCUAACACAUGCAAGUCGAACGGCAGCACAGUAAGAGCUUGCUCUUACGGGUGGCGAGUGGCGGACGGGUGAGGAAUACAUCGGAAUCUACUUUUUCUUGGGGGAUAACGUAGGGAAACUUACGCUAAUACCUCAUACGACCUACGGGUGAAAGCAGGGGAUCUUCGGACCUUUCGCGAUUGAAUGAGCCGAUGUCGGAUUAGCUAGUUGGCGGGGUAAAGGCCCACCAAGGCGACGAUCCGUAGCUGGUCUGAGAGGAUGAUCAGCCACACUGGAACUGAGACACGGUCCAGACUCCUACGGGAGGCAGCAGUGGGGAAUAUUGGACAAUGGGCGCAAGCCUGAUCCAGCCAUACCGCGUGGGUGAAGAAGGCCUUCGGGUUGUAAAGCCCUUUUGUUGGGAAAGAAAAGCAGCAGGUUAAUACCCCGCUGUUCUGACGGUACCCAAAGAAUAAGCAACGGCUAACUUCGUG